GGGGGCGGGACUUAGCUAGAAUGUGGGAUACAUUGUAUGACAUCAUGAAGUAGUGCUGCUCCUGGUCUUAUUUAUUUAUUGUUCUACUCUGUUAGGAAUGUUCAAAUGUCUGUGGAUCAGGAAGCACAGGACGAUGAACUGCUGGCUCUAGCGAGUAUUUACGACGAAGAAGAGUUUCGCCGAGCCGAGUCGGGCCGAGAAGGAGAGAUCCAUCUGUGUCUGGAGCUUCCCCCUGACUUCAAGUUGCUGGUCAGCGGCGAGACAUGUGUGGAGUACCAGGUGUCGUUUCUGCCUCCUCUGGUUUUGAGUUUCGAGCUGCCCGUCAAUUAUCCUUCCUCAUCAGCACCGGUGUUUACACUAAGCUCCAAAUGGAUCUCUAGACUCCAGCUGACGUCUCUGUGUAGGCGUCUGGAUGAGUUAUGGGAGGAGUAUAAGGGGAGCGUGGUGCUCUUCACCUGGAUCCAGUUCCUCAAGGAGGAGGCUUUGGUCUUCCUGGGUCUGCAGUCUCCUCUGGAAAUCUUCAUCAAUAGCAGCAAGCACUCUCAGCUGGAACGCGGCAGAACUGACGGAGCUGCCAAGCGAGUCGAAAGCGCCGGUGCAGAGAAGAAGUCGUCGUCAGAGCUGGACCCUCGCGCUGUCCUGGAGGCCGAGCCGCAUGCUGACCUGCUGCGUCAGCUCCUGGACUUUGACGAGGCUCAGCGGCAGAAGGUCUUCGACAGCAAGGUGUUCUGCUGUGGGAUCUGCUUUUCUGAGAAGCUGGGCUCCGGCUGUGUGCUGUUUAAAGAGUGUCAGCAUGUUUACUGCAGGGCCUGCAUCAAGGAGUUCUUCCAGAUCCAGAUCCGAGACGGCAAAGUACAGUGCCUUACGUGUCCAGAGCCGAAGUGUACCUCCGUAGCCACACCUUCUCAGGUGAAACUGCUGGUUGGAGAGGAUGAGUUUGCACGCUAUGACCGCUUGCUGCUACAGAACAGUCUGGAUCUGAUGGCGGACAUUGUGUACUGCCCCCGCACUUCCUGUUGCAUGGCUGUGAUGCUGGAGCCCAACGCCACAAUGGGCCUGUGUCCAUCCUGCCGCUACGCCUUCUGCACGCUGUGCAAGCGUGCCUACCACGGCCUCUCACAUUGCCCACCCACCGUCCAGGAGCUCAGUAAUCUGCAGGAAGAGUACCUGGCUGGCUCUGAGGAGGAGAAGAAGUUCUUAGAGCAGCGUUUUGGGAAGCAGGUGAUCCAGCGUGCUAUAGAAGAGUCCUUCAGUAUGAAGUGGAUGGAAGAGAACUCGAAAAACUGCCCUCGCUGUGGCUGCCACAUUCAGGUCAGCUCCACUGAUGGAACUUUACAUACAAAGCAAAGUGCUAAUCUAUUCAGAAGAUACAAGGCUGCAACAAAAUGACCUGCUCCUCCUGUCAGCAGUUCUUCUGCUGGGUCUGUCUGGCUCCACUGUCCCGAGUGAAUCCCUACGGCCACUUCAACAAUCCCAGCAGCCCCUGCUUCAACCUAUUGUUCCAGGGUGUAGAACAUGAAGAAGAGGCUUGGAGUGAUGAAGACUAGUGAAAUGAGUUGAGUCCCACCACCUGGAAUGCAUUAAAACCUGCUCCCUGCUGUGUACAUCAGGUUUUUUUAUUCACUGUUUACAGGAAUUUAAUGGAAGAUGAUUCUGGUUAAGAGGAUGAAAAAAAGCUAACAAUCAAAAUGGAGUUGGUUAUUUGUUUAAAAUGAAGCAGGCAGAGGCGAUCCUGAUGAGUUUUUAAUUUACUGGCAUUUCCUAAAACCGUUCUUCACAUAACCUUCUCUGUGUGAAUGUUCAUUAUGUUCUGGAGUCAGGUUCAUAAAUAUUAAAGAACACUAAAGAUAUUAUGGAAUUUUCUUUUUCUGUUCAACAUGUUCUCUAUAUUCUGUACAAGUAUAUAUUUUUCUUUGAAACCAUAUAUACUGUAGAGCUUUAUUCCUGGUUGCCACAAUAAACACACGUGUAGACCGUAAUGAACUCUGACUUUGUU